UCUUCUACCUGCAGAUACACUUAAAGGAGAGAGAGGAGAGCCAGGACCUAAAGGUACCUUUACACAAAUCAUAGAGCAAUUAGGAAAUUAGCCUGUGCCCAAAACGUUACCUGGGAGGUCAUUAAAAAGUUGGUGAGAGCAUCAACUGGUGUGCGGACAUUUCUUGUCUUCUGGUUUCCGUCCAGUUUUUUCUGUCCAGCACCUAGUGCUUAUCAAGUUUGGAUGUACAUGCUUUUGUGUACUCUCUACUGUAAGUAUGGCUGCUUUUGUUUUUACAGGUGACUCAGGGGGACUAGGACAAAAAGGUAAGGUAUUAAUCACAACUGCACAAACGUAAAACAUCAGAAGUGUGUGACAUAAGUCUCAAGCUCUACAAAUGGGAGACAUCCACUAAAGAUUGGCAUUUUUUCAGGGGAUGGCGGUUUCCCUGGUCUCCCAGGUAAGACUGCGAAAUAUGUUAAUGUGUUGUGGCUUUUUUCUGACCCAGACAAACUCAAGACUCACUGCCUGUUCUGUCUGCCUCCCUCCACCCCUGUAUGUUAUCUCAUUAGGUCCUCCCGGGCAGAUGGGUCAUCCAGGAUUGGAUGGGCCAAGAGGACCAAAGGGAAGUGCAGGUGAGCCGGGUUCCGAGGGUCCACCGGGACAACGGGGCCGGGAGGGAGUGAUGGGCCCCCGCGGAGAGGCUGGACCGCCCGGUUUUGGAGCGAAAGGAGACAAAGGAUCUCAAGGUGACCAAGGACAUCCCGGUCCCGCCGGUGCUACUGGACCUUACGGGCCAAAAGGUAGGGUCAAAGGUCGUGAUGGAAUUACAGGACAGAGCAGAUCAUACCAGUGUUUUUGUUUGUUUUAG
rnacentral:lncRNA from 1 species